CUGCCAUCAUGCUCAAAGAAACUCUUGAAUUGAAACAACAAAAACUUUCAAAAAGUAAACUAGAUUCUUUAUUCAGCCAUCUUGCCUUCCAUAAUGUGUCCCGAAUAACUCUUUAUACAAUAAAUCUAAAAAAAGGAUAAUACACAAUGCUAGACGAAUUAAUGUAGGGGACGUAACAUUUAAUCAACAAUAAGUGUACUAGGAAAAACUCAGUUAAUGUUUAUAUUUUUUGGAGCAAUAUUUUUUUUUACAUAUUAGAAAUAUAUAUGAAUAAGUUUUACAGAAAAUACAAAACAGAAAAUUGUAUCUAUGUUAUCAUAAUCUCCCUUAAAUUUAUGUAUUGUUUCAGAAGUUUUAAAUAAAAAAUACCUUGCAUAAUUAAUUUUAAAAACAAAAGGUUUGCAUUAAGAGAACAUACAGUAGUUGUUGCACAUAAACUUUGCAAGACACAACGUAAGGCGUAAUCUGAUUCUUAAUAUCUCUUUUAGUUUUUGAAAUCUGAGUGUGACAGAUGGACAUACAGACUACACAAAACUAAAAACAGCUUUUCCCUUUACUGGUGCCGCUAAUAUAAAAAAAAAAAGCGUUCAAAAAAUGUAUUUUACUUCACUUACGCUAAUUAUUUUUAUUCAUUUAAAUAAUUUUAAUAUAUUUUAUAAAGAUCUAGAAAAACAUGUAAAUUACUUAGUAUUUUGGUAUUAGGAAAAAAGAGUUAAUGAAAAACAUUAAAUUUAGACACCUUAUUCACCAGUUCUAUUAUGAUACUUCAUAGUGAAGCACUGGUGCAGUAAACAUCAAAAAAAGGUUAGCCUUAACCGUAACUUCUUCCCUUAAAGCAAUUUAGAAUUUAUCAGAUUGAACUAGUAAAGAAAUUGAGAAUAAUGGUUUUCACUCUCCAAAAAAAUACAUAAGAUGUGAACAUUCUGCAGUAAACUAACAAUAUCAUUCUAUAGUCAACUACAUUAAACUAACAAUAUCAUUCUAUAGUCAUCUGCAGUUAACUAACAAUAUCAUUCUAUAG